rnacentral:hammerhead_ribozyme from 1 species
ACACUACUGACGAGUCCCAAACAGGACGAAAAAACUGUCCAGUGC